UUUGACUUCUGCCUAGAAGCUUGGGC
rnacentral:piRNA from 1 species